rnacentral:misc_RNA from 1 species
GAACCCUCUGAGGAAUUAGGAAGUUUGCUAGUCUUUGUUGCCAGCCAUUCAUCACCCUUCUCAAUGGCAAUCGAGCACAAUGACUGAACAUCGCUGGCAAUAGAAAGUCUGCUAACAAUUCCUCGAGCCAUCUUGGAUGAUACUCCAUUCACUGGGCCAACUUCCAUCUCCAAUUUUGCCUUGGCUUCUUUAAUAAUUUCAUGAAGUUCUUUAAAUCUGGAUGUCCCAUCCAGGAGCCUGAAACUCAGGUAUAUUCUGUAGCAGAGGACAUCAACACGGCGAGCAUCCUUAGCUACACAAAGCUGUUUCUUCCAAAACCCAAGAAUUCCAGAAACUUUACCACAAGAAGCACAACAAUAGCUCCCAUCUAGCUGCAUCAGUUGUCCUAGAUCAACAACUCCCACCUUCCCACGUUGGAGUGCACACUCAACGUGACAAGUCAGGCCACAGGAG